GUCCCUUCGGGGACAUCUGAUAAAAUUGGAACGAUACAGAGAAGAUUAGUAUGAUCCAUGCGCAAGGAUGACACACACAAAUCGAGAAAUUGUCCAAAUUUUU
rfam:Arabis alpina cultivar Pajares chromosome 8, whole genome shotgun sequence.